UGUGGUUCAAUUCGACGCAACGCGAAGAACCUUACCUGGGCUCGAACGGCUGGUCAACGCCGGUGGAAACAUCGGUACCCCGCAAGGGGGUCCAGUCGAGGUGCUGCAUGGCUGUCGUCAGCUCGUGUCGUGAGAUGUUGGGUUAAGUCCCGCAACGAGCGCAACCCUUGUCCUGUGUUGCCAUCAUUCAGUUGGGAACUCGCAGGAGACCGCCAGCGAUAAGCUGGAGGAGGGUGGGGAUGACGUCAAGUCCUCAUGGCCUUUAUGUCCAGGGCUACACACGUGCUACAAUGGCCGGUACAAAGCGUCCCGAAGCUGCGAAGCGGAGGCAAUCGCAAAAAACCGGUCUCAGUUCGGAUUGCAGGCUGCAACUCGCCUGCAUGAAGCUGGAAUCGCUAGUAAUGGCAGAUCAGCACGCUGCCGUGAAUACGUUCCCGGGCCUUGU
rnacentral:rRNA from 1 species